UACAGAGGGUGCUAGCGUUGUUCGGAAUCAUUGGGCGUAAAGGGCGUGUAGGCGGUUUGUUAAGUCAUGUGUGAAAUCCCUCGGCUCAACCGAGGAAAGACGCAUGAAACUGGCAAGCUAGAGUACCGAAGAGGGGGGUGGAAUUCCCGGUGUAGCGGUGGAAUGCGCAGAUAUCAGGAGGAACACCGGUGGCGAAGGCGGGUCUCUGGGCAGUAACUGACGCUGGAGGAGCGAAAGCGUGGGGAGCGAACAGG
rnacentral:rRNA from 1 species